rnacentral:rRNA from 1 species
AAAUGAAUAGACGGGGGCCCGCACAAGCGGUGGAGCAUGUGGUUUAAUUCGAUGCAACGCGAAGAACCUUACCAGGGCUUGACAUCCCUUGACGCCUCAGAAAUGAGGUUCCCCUUCGGGGCAAGGAGACAGGUGGUGCAUGGUUGUCGUCAGCUCGUGUCGUGAGAUGUUGGGUUAAGUCCCGCAACGAGCGCAACCCCUACGCUGUGUUGCCAGCACUUCGGGUGGGCACUCACAGUGGACUGCCGGUGACAAACCGGAGGAAGGUGGGGACGACGUCAAAUCAUCAUGCCCCUUAUGUCCUGGGCUACACACGUGCUACAAUGGUCGGUACAGACGGAAGCCAACCCGCGAGGGGGAGCGGAUCCGAGAAAGCCGAUCUCAGUUCGGAUUGCAGGCUGCAACUCGCCUGCAUGAAGUCGGAAUCGCUAGUAAUCGCAGGUCAGCAUACUGCGGUGAAUACGUUCCCGGGCCUUGUACACACCGCCCGU